rnacentral:lncRNA from 1 species
CUAUCUUCUCAGAGUUUGCUCAAAUUCAUGACCAUUGAGUGAGUAAUACCUGCAAGGCUCCUUUGUCUGUCCUGAGAACACAGAUAAAGCCUCAUUAAGAUUCCCUGACAUUCAGCUCAAAUUUCCUGUAUGAGUCAAAACAUACUAAAAGUUUAAACCGUUAUUGGAACCUGG